GGUUCCCGGAACGGAAGGACCCCCUGCUGCCGUAUUACCGCCGAAGCGGAGGCCCCCCACCGCCAAAGACCCCAGGCCCCCUGUAUCCUCUGGGCGGCCCUGGGACAAAUGCCUGUCUUUACCUGUGAAUUACUCUGGGGUUUAGGUUAGAUAUAGGUAUCAGGACAUUUAGAGUGAGGCAGCAGUGGACAUCCCCAGAUGCAGAAAUUUAGGCCUAAUCUACACUUAAAAGCUAGGUCAACAUAGGGUGCUUAUUCGUGUGAAAAAUUCACAGCCUGGAGCAGUGUAGUUAUUAGUCCGACUUAACCCCAGUGUAGAUGCAGCUAGGUCGGCAGAAGAAUACUUCUGAGUUCUAGUAUAGUGCUCAUAGUCCUAAGUGGCUAGGGACUUUUACCCUGAAAAGAUAGGCACCAAGUGUGUUUAGGAGCCUACAGGGUUCAGCAAGAGUUUUGUGGAUAACAGUAGAGCCAAUCUGGGUUUUAGGCACCUAAACUCAAGACAUAGGGCUAAAUCUAGGAGUUAGGCACCUAAGUACCUUUAUGCAUCCCACCCUUACAGCCAUGAGUAGCAUUUGAGACAAGUCAUGUCAGUAAACACUACUCUCAUUAGUGUUUCCAGGCUUGAGUCGUAGGUAGUUUUUAUAAUAUUUUUCAAAGAGAUGUGUAGAGAAAUUGAAAUGCAGAAGAUAAAAAGACACAUUAUUGUUCUUAAUUGCAACCCAUGAGUUUGAUCUUGUUAUCCUUAUUCAGACAAAACACCAAUUUACUUAUGCCCUGAUUCUGCCACCUGUGUUGCUUGGAUCUCUGUGGAGCCUCUUGCUCCAUGCAGAUGCAUGAAUCCACCUGUGAAGAACAAAUUGCAGGAUUGGGCUCUUAAAUUGGUAUUUUGCCUCAAUUACGACUGCAGGAUCAACUCAAUGUGCACAAUAAAGGUACUGGAGUUUCAGUAUAAAGUAUACAGUGGGUGGUAAUUUACUAUAAAAAGAGCAGCUACAGUCACCUAGUUUUGAAGCAGUAUUGAAAGAACAAAAAGACAAGGCAAAAAGACUUUUACUGAAAAGAGAAUCAUAAGGAUUAGUUAAAAGAAUACCUUUUUAAAAAUAUAUUUAUUUCAAGGAAAAAUGUAUUUCAUAUAUAACAGGGGAGCCCAUCUCCCCUUACAUAUGUAUGUCAAUUGAAAUAGAUAUGUUGAAAUCAUUUAAUUUUAAACAGCUGUUUUCAUUUGCAUUAUCUUAUUAAUUCCUAGGCAAGUGGUACAUCUGAUAAUUAUAAGGUUUGUUUUGUUUCACAAUACAGGGAGAAUGGAAACUGACACACUAAGAAAAAAAAACACUAGACAUUCUGAUUUGAAUGUUCACCAGUGCAUUUUAAUCAAUAUGGCUUCUGGGUCAGAUACUUUUUCAGAAGAUAUACAUCUAUCACCAGAGAAUAGUAACUCCCUAUUGAAAGACUCUGCUGACAUUUCAGAGCCUGUACUCCCUCCUGUGUUAGACCUCCCUGUGCUUUUUACCACUGAAAGUAAGUAUGCAAAUUUUUUGAAGUAUGACAAGUAGUCAUACUAAUAAAGGGCUCUCUUGUGCCAUGGAGGCAUUGCCCUAUGUUUGGGGCUUGGAAGAGUAAGAGGUCUUCCCAGAGCAUUUCCAAUUUAGACAACUUCUGCCCUGACCCCAAUAUAGUGUUGUGCACAUAGGGGCUGGAAAUAGGGGUGCUCCUGCUCUUUCUGUUAUAUAGAGUGUAUUACAGUUUGGUUCAGUGGCUCUCAGCACCCCCUAUAAAAAUUGUUCCAGCACCCCUGCUUGUACAUAAAUGGCCCAAAGAAACCCUUAUCACUCCCUCUUCAUUGAAACAAAUGUCAGUACAUUGUGUAGUGCUCUAAUUUCUAACAGUAUUGGCUUGCUCUUUCCUUCUGGGGGUAGUUUAUGGUUGUUAACUUUGAUUGUUUAAAAAACUAUAUGAAUUGGGGCCUAACUACUUGAGACUAUCUCUCUCAAUGAGGGGCCACUGUAGUUGGGGUCAGCAAGGUUGCCCAAGUUAACAAGCCCUAAUUUAAAACAUCUAGGUGCUGUUGGAUGGUGUUUUCAAUAGCAGACUGUGGAAUUUGCUUCUUUUGCUGCUCUGAUAGAGCAGCCAACUAUUGGCCUCUAAAACAUAAUACAAGUCAAUUUCUUUUUUCUCAAGGGUUUGCUAGAGGAUGGGAUGGCUCGGGUUAGAAGAGACUGCUUUUGGGAUUUUUUCCUCUUCUUUAUGAGACUUGGGGAAAACAGCUUAAAAGUGGACUAGUUCCUGCUUCUGUUUUUAUAAAAAUAUUUGGAAGAUGUGACAGGACAGAGCCAUGAGAAAUGCAGAUUAUUAAUCCUCUACAAUAUGUUGGACCCUAAAAGGCAGAAUAUCUUUAUUGCUAGAGAAACAUGUCAUGCUGCUAUGAAAAGCUGGAUUGCCACAUGCUAUCACAACUGUAUUUCAGAUGAUGAAGCUGAUGAAAAUAAGUCAACAAGUAAAAAGAACAUGCUUAAAAAUAGAGGAAAUACAUCAUUCCUAUCUAAGGAAGACCAAGACAUUCCAGGGAAAAGCUGAAGACAUAUGUUUCCUAUAGUGUAUUGUUUAGAAAUGUGUGACUGAUUGCAGUGGGGUGGGGAAUUAUUUCUUUUAGACAUCUUCAUGUAUUGGGGUUUUUGUUUAUUUGUUUGUUUGUUUUUUGCCUAUUUUGUGGGUAUUUAUAAUGUUACCUUAAAUGUAUGUGUAUCUUCUAUUCCUGACAUGUUACUAUUUAAAAUGGCAGAGCAUAAAAAAAUAGUGCCCCCCCGCCACGCAGUGUGUGUCUCCAUUUCUCUCUCUCUCUCUCUCUCUCUCUCUAAACUGGUUACAUUCACCUUUGGAGUUACUUCAUUGAAAUCAACAUAGUUACCCCAGAGAUGAAUUUGUCUAACUGCAAAUAAUUAGAAGGGUUUUCAUUUAAUUUUAGAUUCAAAUCUACCUCUGCUGACCUUGUUGGGGGGUGGUUUUUUUUUUUAAUUAUUAUAUAUGCCCCUUUGUUCUAGAAAACUAAAUGUUGUUGUUUUCAAUGCAUAUUUCCCACCCCUUCCAGUUAGGGCCCCUUUUGUGCCUUGUAAGUGAACUCUCUCUCAUCUAACUUACCCAGAUAUAUAUAUAUAUAUAGAGAGAGAGAGAGAGAAAAUAUACUUGAGAUUGCAUAACUCACAGAUCCAGCUGGAUUGCCUCUUCUGAGGGAAAAAUCCCAUGAGAAAUGUUCAAGGGAAGGAAAUUUCCACGAGAACGCUUUUUAAUGGGUUCUCCUGUUUUUAUUGUGGGAGACAGUUGAGCCACAGACCAUGAGUGUCAAGCAACUACCAAAUUUGGUAAAGUCCCAACUCCCUAGAGGCACUGACUUUUUUUUGUUUUUGUUUUUGCCGAUGGGUGUUUUUGAAGAGAGGUGUGUGUUUGGGGGAGCACGCUGCUAGGUUUGUGGGGAGGCUAUUUUCAGCAUAUUUAUACUUUUUAUUUCAUAUUCUAGUUAUUGAAUGUGUCUAUCAUUGGUAUCUUUAAUACAUGAUUCAAUUGUUAUGAACUACAUAAUUACAUUAUCAUGAAUUACAGUAUAUUAAGAUCCUUGUAAUCACCUACAAGCUGUCUUUACUAACAUCCCAGUUUAAAGACAUUAGGUCUCACUGUAGCUUUCUGGAUGAAACUGUCAGCAAUUUUAUUUACAUCUAGGUUCUCUGGUAUUAUUUUGAUGCACAUUAAGGACAGCUACAUUAUUCAGUUGCGUGUGUCCCGUUGACUGGAGAUAAUUUUUAAGUCUUCUGAAGCAAGAGAAUGAGCAUUCCACAGUUCAGGAUGAUACAGGCAUAGUGAGAAGGAUUCUUAUGAAUUUACAGUACUCUGGAAACAUAGUGCUUCUAGAGUACUGCAAAUGACUCGAUCUUUCUUGAUUUAGGCACCAUCAUUUUGUAUGUAUUGUUGGGAUUAUAUUUUGCCAUGUGCAUUCCUUUGCAUUGAACAUUGAAUUUCAUCUGCCAUUUUGUUGCCAAGUCACCCAGUUUUGUGAGACCCCUUUGUAACUCUUUGCAGCUGUUUUGGACUUGAAUAAUCUUGUAUCAUCUGCAAACUUUGCUACCUGUUUACCCCUUUUUGCAAAUCAUUUAUGAAUAUUUUGAACAGCACUGAUCCCAGACCAGUACAAGUCCCUGGUGGUGGUGGGGCACCUCUAUUUACUU